rnacentral:rRNA from 1 species
CGUAGGUCACAAGCGUUGUCCGGAAUUACUGGGUGUAAAGGGAGCGCAGGCGGGAAGACAAGUUGGAAGUGAAAUCUAUGGGCUCAACCCAUAAACUGCUUUCAAAACUGUUUUCUUGAGUAGUGCAGAGGUAGGCGGAAUUCCCGGUGUAGCGGUGGAAUGCGUAGAUAUCGGGAGGAACACCAGUGGCGAAGGCGGCCUACUGGGCACCAACUGACGCUGAGGCUCGAAAGUGUGGGUAGCAAACAGGAUU